rnacentral:tRNA from 1 species
GAGGGUGUAGCUCAGUGGUAAAGCACAUGCUUAGCAUGCAUGAGGUCCUGGGUUCAAUCCGAAGUAUCUCCA